GUGCGAAAGCAGGUCAUAGUGAUCCGGUGGUUCUGAAUGGAAGGGCCAUCGCUCAACGGAUAAAAGGUACUCCGGGGAUAACAGGCUGAUACCGCCCAAGAGUUCAUAUCGACGGCGGUGUUUGGCACCUCGAUGUCGGCUCAUCACAUCCUGGGGCUGAAGUAGGUCCCAAGGGUAUGGCUGUUCGCCAUUUAAAGUGGUACGCGAGCUGGGUUUAGAACGUCGUGAGACAGUUCGGUCCCUAUCUGCCGUGGGCGCUGGAGAACUGAGGGGGGCUGCUCCUAGUACGAGAGGACCGGAGUGGACGCAUCACUGGUGUUCGGGUUGUCAUGCCAAUGGCACUGCCCGGUAGCUAAAUGCGGAAGAGAUAAGUGCUGAAAGCAUCUAAGCACGAAACUUGCCCCGAGAUGAGUUCUCCCUGACCCUUUAAGGGUCCUGAAGGAACGUUGAAGACGACGACGUUGAUAGGCCGGGUGUGUAAGCGCAGCGAUGCGUUGAGCUAACCGGUACUAAUGAACCGUGAGGCUUAACCUU
rnacentral:rRNA from 1 species